rnacentral:misc_RNA from 1 species
GUUCUCAGCUAGGUCUUUGGCUAGGCGGAGCACGGUGCCGCCGGCAAAGCAACCUUGUUGGUACAUCAUGAGGCGCUUGACAGAGGGACGGAGACCGAGGAGCUUGGUGAGUUGGUAAUCGGCCCCGGGCAUGUCGACGCCACUAGUGGUGCAGAAAACCAAGUGGGUGAUUUUGGACUUCGGCUGGCCCCAUUCUUUGAUGGCCUUGGUUGCAGCCUCUUUGCCUAGUUUUGG